rnacentral:rRNA from 1 species
UACAGAGGGGGCAAGCGUUGUUCGGAAUUACUGGGCGUAAAGGGCGCGUAGGCGGCCUGCUAAGUCGAACGUGAAAUCCCUGGGCUCAACCCAGGAACUGCGUCCGAUACUGGUUGGCUUGAAUCCGGGAGAGGGACGUGGAAUUCCAGGUGUAGCGGUGAAAUGCGUAGAUAUCUGGAGGAACACCGGUGGCGAAGGCGACGUCCUGGACCGGCAUUGACGCUGAGGCACGAAAGCGUGGGUAGCAA